rnacentral:lncRNA from 1 species
AAUAUCAAUUCAUUGAGCCUAAAAUAUUUCAUUUGGAAUUUCUCAGGUUCAGACUCUGUGUAGCUUCCUGACAGUCACCCAAGGCCCAAAAGCCAAUACUUCUACAGUGUCCACACAUGGAGCAGACCCACCAGAAAAAACCUACCCAUCGGAAAAGACUGGAAACAUCAGAGCUUCAGCACUAAAGACUGCAUAUUACUUCCUAGACGUCUUCCUCAGAAGAUAAAUGACCAAUGUGAGGGCUUGUGGCCAUCAAAUUGAGAUUUACUGGGUACCCUAUAUUGAGUGGACGAGGUUAUUUGGAUGAAUCUGAUAUCUUUUAUUGGACUAACUCAAAUACGGUAGUUGGAAAAAUCCUUUUUUGCAAGUUUUCAGGUACAAAUACACUUCCUCAGGCUGAGGAAGCAUCUGCAGUUGGUCCGCACUGACUGUUGUAUGAUACUGAGUUAACUAAGAAGCUCUAUUGAAGUCACAACCUCAGCUCAGUAGAAGGUCAUGUUCGCCCUUCGCAUGUGAGUUGUGUUAAUA